rnacentral:snRNA from 1 species
GGAUAUGUAAUAUUCGUCUAACAUUAAGAACAUCUGUCAUGCCAUUGAUCGCCAGAGUUGAUUGGGUUGACCUGGCUGGCUAGGGUGUCCCCUCCCUCACAGUUCCAUGGAAGUCCAUCCCUAAACUAUGCUCUAUGGGAGCCGAUAACCACCCCAGAUAGAAGAGGAUCCUUUACUUGGUCAAGAGUAGAGGAGUAGCUGCACUCCCCUGCUAGAACUUCCAAACAAGCUCUCUAUACUUUUAUUUUUACAUAUUCUAUCCUAGAUUACAGUAGUAAUCACCAUACGGAAGCAAAAUAAAUAAAGAGAAUAAAAAUACAUUGGACAGUUCAAGUGU